rnacentral:rRNA from 1 species
ACGAACGCUGGCGGCAUGCCUAACACAUGCAAGUCGAACGAGACCUUCGGGUCUAGUGGCGCACGGGUGCGUAACGCGUGGGAACCUGCCCUUAGGUUCGGAAUAACUCCCCGAAAGGGGUGCUAAUACCGGAUAAUGUCUUCGGACCAAAGAUUUAUCGCCUUUGGAUGGGCCCGCGUUGGAUUAGCUAGUUGGUAGGGUAAAAGCCUACCAAGGCGACGAUCCAUAGCUGGUCUGAGAGGAUGAUCAGCCACACUGGGACUGGGACACGGCCCAGACUCCUACGGGAGGCAGCAGUGGGGAAUAUUGGACAAUGGGCGAAAGCCUGAUCCAGCAAUGCCGCGUGAGUGAUGAAGGCCUUAGGGUUGUAAAGCUCUUUUACCCGGGAUGAUAAUGACAGUACCGGGAGAAUAAGCUCCGGCUAACUCCGUG